AGUAGUUAUGAAUAUUCCUCUGCAGAUUUACAUCGCUGUAAGGCACACACAAUGUUACGCAAACCACAACUUUAUACUGUGGCACUAAACAACAAUCAGAUCUCAAGGAUCCCCCUACCACCACCAGACACUGCCUCAAUGUAUUCCUGAUCAAACCGCUGUGAAAUCAAUGCACGUCAUGCAUUAUUAGUUUCACCAUGGAGUGACACAAGAGCCACCGUCAUUUCUCGUAUUUCAUUUUGCAUUUUGGUUCGUUCCAGUUCGUGAGUCUGAAAGUUUUCGUGUAACAGUUCUACUACUAACUAAUUGGUUUAAUCCAUAGUGCUGCUAAUGCGUUUUUGUGUCACUUAUACAAUGGCGCUGUAGUGGUUAUUCAAUGUUUCAUCCCAUCACUUAAGUGCCACACGUCGCCACAGUCUGAGACCAUAAAAUGUGAUGUGCUGCUGUCCCGCUUCUCAUUCGCUGAAAGGCCUCGUAUCAGGCUGGCACGAGCGGCACGGAGGCUGAGUGCCAGCGAGCUCCAACCACGCCAAAAAAGCAGCUGACACUCACUCCCUUAUCUGGUGGAUGAUAAAGAGCAGCGUUUUAGUUGCUCGUCUUUAGAGCAAACAACACAGCCUUGGCAGUGGGCGGCUUAACACUCAGCAGCAUGCCGGCACUCACUGAGGCAGACCCCGUCACGUCUCUGCAGGUGGACGAGAAGUUGAAGCGCAGUGAACACCAUAACUCCAGUGAUUCUGAUAUGUCGGAGUCGGAAUGCAUUGUGGGUAAGGAGGGAGGGGGUGGGGGCAGCAAAGGGGAGAACAGUAAGGAGUCCGAGGAGGGUGGCGUGCUGGCGGUGCCGAGCCCACCUGCCCCUGCUGACCGCGCCACGCCCUCACCUGCUGAGGAAAGUGGGGGUUCUCUGAAGAGAGGAAGUUAUGAAGUCACUAUAGAAAAAAAGAAGGCCGUUUUGAAUCACGUGAAUGAAGAUGGACAAGGUUUGGAAGAAACAAGUAAUGGACUCAAGUCUCCUAAACACCGAGACAAGUCAGAGGAAGGCGGAGAGGUCAAGAUGGAGGUGAACGAGCACGAUGACCUUGACCGUGGCUGGGCCUUCUUGGUGGUCCUGGGCACCUUCACUACGAUGGUAGCGGUGGCCAUCGUAGGUCCUUGCUUCGGAAUACUGUUCGCUGAUUUUCUCAUCGAGAGGAACGCGACCUCCACCACAACGGGAGCGAUAUUCAACACAGAAAACUUCGCCUGGAGCGUGUCCAACCUGCUGGCGGGGCCCCUGACCGAGGUGUUCGGAUGGCGGGCGGUGGGCAUAGCGGCAGGCCUGAUGUGCUCUGCUGGCAUGGCGGCCUCUGCGUUCGCCCCCUCCGUGUCAUUCCUUUUCUUCUCUUACUCAGUGUUAUCAGGUUUCGGGAGCGGAUCGGCGUGCCUGGUAUCCUUCGCGGUUAUACCUCGUUUCUUUAAGCGGAUGUUGGGUCGAGCAAACGGUCUCACCACCGCGGGAUUGUGUAUCGGGGGCAUCAUCGGGCCGCCCAUAAUCACCUACCUGCAAGAACUGUGCGGUUUCAGAGGUGCCACCCUCAUCGUGGCGGUGUUCGCACUCAGCAUCAGCCUCGCUGCCACGAUCUUCAGGCCGGUGCGGAAGAAUGGCCUUGAGGUCAGCAAGGUCAAGGAAGGCGCCGUCCCCCGCCCUGGACCUUGCAAGCUGAUUGGCCAGAUGGUCUGUUCCGUGGGCAGGAACUGUCUGCUACUUAGGUUACCGCGCGUCGCCAUCAUCGCCAUUGGAGGCUCCUUCGUCGUGGGCAUCUUCCUCAAUCUCUCCCUGCUGAUGCCCUUCGCGAUGGAGGCCAAGGGCCACACAGUGGAGACGGCGGCGUGGUGCAUGUCAAUCACCAACCUGUGCAAUCUGACAAGCCGUAUCCUGAUUUCCUCGUUUUCAGACAUGGCCUGGUUCAACGUGCUCGUCGCCUAUAUCGUCAUGUCCUUCUUCCUGACCAUCUCCACGCUAGCGUUCGGGUUCCUGCAGGAAUUGGUGUGGAUCAUGGUGGCCCUGGCGGUGUGCGGCUUCAGCACUGGAUCAUGCAUGUUUCUGUACAACAUGAUCAUGAUGAAGUACAUGGGGCUUCACUUGUACGUUCCUGUGAUGGGAGUGUCUGGCCUCAUCAAUGGCCUCUGGAUGAUCUGCAGUGGCCCACUCAUUGGUCUGGUACGGGACUGGAGUGGCAGCUACGUUGUCAGUGUGUGUGUUCUGGGCAGCACGGGGUUCCUCGCCACCGCCCUUUUCCUCCUCAUGCCCAUCGCUGUAGCCUACGAAAAACGGAGAGAAGAGCAGCUGAGAACCAAGGACGCAGAAGUAGGCGGCUGAGAUACAGUCGCGGCCAGAAGUCUUGUAACCUGACACCCUUAUUUCCAUUAUGUUUAGCGCGUUUCUUCAGUCUUCCGUCCUCUGAUCGUGGAACCUUUCACUCAUCGGGUUUUGUACGGGGACAGGCUGCACAUCGGAGGACUUGCGGUUGAAGCAAAACGGUUACAUUAGUGGAAGAGAAUACAGCACGUGAACAAACUUUUGACCGUGGUUAUGUACAUGCUUUCAUCUCCCUCAACAGAGAUGAAAGAAAAACGGAGAAAAAAAAAAAAAAAAAAAAAAUGAAAACUGCGGAUGACAGGUUCAAGAAAGUUUCCAGGUCUCGAAUGUCACAGUGGAUGGUGUUUCCAGACAUGAGACCGGUGGAAGGUGUGGCGUCACGUACGCGUCAGUGCUAGAAAAGCUGCAGAAGGGGGUAUCCAUGCCUGCAGAGACUACCUUAUUCCAAGGAUUCGUCCUAUACCAGACUGCCUGGAAGCUGCAGGCUAACUGACUGAGAGCUAGAUGUUCCCUCCUGCUCCAGCUUCCUUAGAUAUGCCACCAUUAGUGUCUGGGUUGAGAUACAUAAUUCUUCCUCCUUCAUAAGUGACAAUGAUAGCAAAAUGAAGACUGACCCUGAGAAGUGUGGAAUAUGACACAUUAAUGAAACACUUUAUUUCCAAACUUGAAAAAAGUAUCACAAUUUUUUAAAGUUUAUUACAUAACAGGUGAUUUAACAUUAUUACUCCAAUAGACUAACUGUAAUAUGAAAUAAUGUGUAAUUUAUGAAAAGAAUACACUAACACUGGCUACAUACAAUCCUCAACACCUAAAGCUUUCUCACAGACCAACACUACCAAGAAACUCUACUUAAAUGAGAAUACAUCCACCAACAACAAUUCCCAUUAUCUUUAUCCCCAUGAAGGGCUUUGUGGUUUAAUAAAAAUGCUUAGAAUUUCAAAUAGAAAGUAUCAGUAUCAUUUCUUUGUUUCCUUGACAAACACUCCAAAAUGGCCAGGCAUGUUCUUGGUUUGUCUUUAAGUGCAAGAUGCAGGCCACCUUAACUUUCACUUCACAGUCUGACUGACAAAACAUUAACUUGAUUUUCCAGUAAAAAGAGCUGUAUCUUCUAUUUUUAGCUGAUAAUACAGAGAAAGGUGUUGCCCUUUCCUGACCUGCAUUGUCCUAUUCUACCAUAUCUACUUUUGUUUAAUUUAUGUACACUUCUUACAUCACUACCAAAUGUGAUUGCCUCUAUUAUUGCAAACUAAGUAAUGUAAAUAUAGUAAUUUUUACCAA